rnacentral:rRNA from 1 species
CCUACGGGUGGCAGCAGUAGGGAAUCUUCCACAAUGGGCGAAAGCCUGAUGGAGCAACGCCGCGUGGGUGAAGAAGGUCUUCGGAUCGUAAAACCCUGUUGUUAGAGAAGAACGUGCGUGAGAGUAACUGUUCACGUUUCGACGGUAUCUAACCAGAAAGCCACGGCUAACUACGUGCCAGCAGCCGCGGUAAUACGUAGGUGGCGAGCGUUAACCGGAUUUAUUGGGUGUAAAGGGCGCGCAGGCGGGCUUUUAAGUCUGAUGUGAAAGUCUUGGGCUUAACCGGAGUAGUGCAUUGGAAACUGGUAGACUUGAGUGCAGAAGAGGCGAGUGGAACUCCAAGUGUAGCGGGGAAAUGCGUAGAUAUAUGGAAGAACACCAGUGGCGAAGGCGGCUCUCUGGACUAUAACUGACGCUGAGGUGCGAAAGCGUGGGGAGCAAACAGGAUUAGAUACCCCAGUAGUC